rnacentral:rRNA from 1 species
GGAGCAUGUGGUUUAAUUCGACGCAACGCGAAGAACUUACCAGGGCUUGACAUCCCCUGACCGCGUAUGAAAGUACGUUUUCACCUCGGUGACAGGGAGACAGGUGGUGCAUGGUUGUCGUCAGCUCGUGUCGUGAGAUGUUGGGUUAAGUCCCGCAACGAGCGCAACCCUCGACCUUAGUUGCCAGCAUUCAGUUGGGCACUCUAAGGUGACUGCCGGCUAAAAGUCGGAGGAAGUGGGGAUGACGUCAAAUCAUCAUGCCCCUUAUGACCUGGGCUACACACGUGCUACAAUGGGCGGUACAAAGGGUCGCGAACCCGCGAGGGGGAGCCAAUCCCAAAAAGCCGCUCUCAGUUCGGAUUGCAGGCUGCAACUCGCCUGCAUGAAGCCGGAAUCGCUAGUAAUCGCGGAUCAGCAUGCCGCGGUGAAUACGUUCCCGGGCCUU